rnacentral:rRNA from 1 species
CCAGUUGUCUCUUUCUAUCUUUAUAAGAAGGAGCGGAGGGUCAUUACAAGUGACCCCGGUCUAACCACCGGGAUGUUCAUAACCCUUUGUUGUCCGACUCUGUUGCCUCCGGGGCGACCCUGCCUUCGGGCGGGGGCUCCGGGUGGACACUUCAAACUCUUGCGUAACUUUGCAGUCUGAGUAAACUUAAUUAAUAAAUUAAAACUUUUAACAACGGAUCUCUUGGUUCUGGCAUCGAUGAAGAACGCAGCGAAAUGCGAUAAGUAAUGUGAAUUGCAGAAUUCAGUGAAUCAUCGAAUCUUUGAACGCACAUUGCGCCCCCUGGUAUUCCGGGGGGCAUGCCUGUUCGAGCGUCAUUUCACCACUCAAGCCUCGCUUGGUAUUGGGCAACGCGGUCCGCCGCGUGCCUCAAAUCGACCGGCUGGGUCUUCUGUCCCCUAAGCGUUGUGGAAACUAUUCGCUAAAGGGUGCUCGGGAGGCUACGCCGUAAAACAAACCCAUUUCUAAGGUUGACCUCGGAUCAGGUAGGGAUACCCGCUGAACUUAAGCAUAUCAAAAGCCGGAGGAA